rnacentral:misc_RNA from 1 species
ACAAACUAAAAUGGCUUCAAACAGAGGGUAUUGUGUAUGUGGACAAGUCAAUGAAGAGACGGGUUUUAUGAUCCAAUGUGAUGUUUGCAGAGAUUGGUUCCACGGGAACUGUGUAGAUGUUAAGGAACAUGAGUCAGUUGAUAUUGAGAAAUACCACUGUCCAGCCUGUGAGGAAGCUCAUGGACCCUCUGUCUAUAAAGAAAGGAAGAAUUGGCAUAGACAUGAUUACACAGAUGCUGAAGCUGAAGGGAAGGCUAUUCAAACUGGAACACCAGUGUUUAUCCAUGAACUGAAACAAAGGCACUUUCGGAGUGCAGAUGAAGUUAUAGUGAAGCUGAGAGGCCAACAGUUGACGUUACCAUACCUUAUGCAGAAUGGGUUUGAAUGGCCCAUACUGGUUGAAAGCAAGGAAGGUCUUGAUCUUGUUAUGCCUCCAGAGAACUUUACCAUUUAUGAUAUUUGUGAUUAUGUUGGUGAAGAUGUACAUUUGGAUGUGAUUGAUGUAAUGAAACAAGAGGGAGAUAUUAAGAUGACAAUGAAGGAGUGGGCAGAUUAUUUUGAAAACCCUGAUAGAAGUAGAGUGUACAAUGUUAUAAGCCUGGAAUUUUCCAAAACAAGGCUGUCUGAAUUUGUUACUCCACCAUCUAUUGUGAGGAAGAUAAGCUGGGUAGAGACAUGCUGGCCAACCAAUCUUCCUGAAGAUUGUCCUUAUUCUCGACCAGCUGUUAUGAAGUAUUGCUUGAUGGGAACAAAAGAUAGUUAUACAGAUUUCCAUAUUGAUUUUGGUGGGACCUCAGUUUGGUAUCACAUCCUUAAGGGUGAAAAAAUUUUCUACCUCAUUCGACCUACUCCAGCAAAUGUUUCACUGUAUGAACGAUGGAUGUCAUCUGCCAAUCAAAGCGAGAUGUUUUUUGGGGACCAGGUUGAUUCCUGUUAUAAACUAAUUCUAGAAAAAGGAAGUACACUUUUUAUACCAGCAGGGUGGAUUCAUGCUGUACUGACAUCAAAAGAUUCAUUGGUGUUUGGAGGAAAUUUUCUCAAUACUUUUAAUAUACCAUUACAGUUACAAGUCUAUGAAACUGAACAGAGGAUAAAAACCCCACACAAGUAUCGGUUUCCAUGGUUUGAAACAACACACUGGUUUGCUGCAGAGCUUGUUCUCCAACAGCUAAGGGAGAUUAACCAAGGAGAAAGAAAAGCUCCUCAUUACAAUGUAGCCGGAGCAAAAUCUUUAAUUACAGCAUUAAAAGUCUGGAGUCAAGGCACAGAGGUUAAAGGUAGAAGUCAUGAGGAUAUUCCUGAUGGAAUUGAUGCUGCCAAGUUGAUAAAAGGGCUUUCCAGAGAAGUCAGAAUAGUUGAAAAGAGGCAAGCUAUUAACAAGAUAGUGAAAGAAGAUAAGAAGCCUGUAAGACUAAGAAAACAACUGCAUUCUGUGACAGGGAGUAGCCUAGAUACAGAUUUAAAAGCUGUCAUCCCAAAACAUGAGAUAUCAAAAUUGGGUGAUGAAAACAAAGUAGUCACUUCUCUGAAACUGUCACUGAAGUCCAAGUUAUCCUCUCAGGAAUCCAGUACAGAAAUGAUCUCUUCCUCAAAUCCAUCACAAUCUUCAAUAAAGCUAUGUAUACCAAAGUCUGCAGUGACAGCUUGCCCUGGAAAAGGGAGAGCACGUGCACCAAGAAAGGAUCUCAAAAAUAAUUUCUCAAAACAGAAUUCUCAAGAAAAUAAAGCAAAAAAAGGGAAACCCCUAAAAUUGAAGGUUUCGUGUGGGAAAGUAGUAAGUGAAGAGAAGAAACCCAUACAAGAGGUAAAGAACACAUCUGUUUACGACUUUGUAGAUUCUGAAGAUGAUGCAUUAGUUGUUGAUGAAAAUCCACGUCUUCCUCCGAAACGGCCAAAAGCUUCAGCUGUAAAAAGAAAACCUCCUGGGGUAACAAAACAGAACAAUUUAAAAAGCGAGCCAUUAAAGCUAAGAUUAUCUUUUAAUGGUAAAGCAACAUCAGAGAAGCCAUCCAUAGGUUCAUCCUUCUCUUCUUCAGAACAAGACAAGGAACUAAGUGACUGUACGUCCCCUGGACCAAAGAAUGCCACUAUUGAUGACUUGUUAUUGGCUAGUGCUUACACAGGUGAUCCAGACAACACCAGAGUUAGUCUGGAGGAGGAACUAAGCGGAGGACGCACUUCUCCGUCCACCAGAGAAGCUAUUCAGGGAAUGUUAUCCAUGAGCAAAAGUGUCUUUACCUUUGACUCAACUUUGAAUCAAGCAGGGGACUCUGUAAGUGCUACGAUAAACAGUGGAGAAACUGGCUUAACAUCAGAAACUGGGCUUGGAAGCUUGACAGACAUCCGAGCCACUAACAUGUCUAUUCUAGUCAAUAGGCCACUUCACAUUGAUGCUGGUAAAUCAGUAGUGAGCCACAACAGAUUGAUCAGGAGAAAAUAUCCUGAUGAGGAAGAUGAUGAGGAGUUUGAAGAAAGUUUAAAAAACUGUCCAGAAGAUGGGGAUUUCAUUUAUUUAGGGUUUGAAGCUACUGAUGAAGAGGGUUAUAUUUUCAAACGUCGCGGAAGAAGAAAACCAGAUGAAGCUUGGAAUCCUAAAGCUAAAUUAGUACCAAAUUGUCCCAAGCCAGAACGGCCAGUUCGAGAAGGUGUGAGAAAAGAAGUGGUUGAAUCAGGAAUAGCUGCAGCUGCUGCGAAGCUAGCUAACUUACCACCUCAGAAACGUUCAUAUAACAAGAAGAAAGUCAUCCACCCUAAAAGUAAAGAAGAGCAUUUGUUCAAUCCUCAGCCUGGUCCUUCUCAUCUCACGGACUUUUCCUUAAAAAGACCAGCUUCAGUGGAGAUGCUGUCUAAAGUUAAAAACCUAAAAAAGGAUUUGCUACAGCCAAGCAGAGAUUAGGAAAAAUCUUGAAAAUCCAUAAAAUGUUACACUGACCAUCUGUUUUCUAGUGAAUUCACCAGUUUAUGAUCAGAGUACCUGGAAUGUUCCCCUGACCGUGUUGAUCUGUUUUAGUAACUGAUCGUGUGAAAAAUGGAAGACUUUGACUCUCAGGGAAACUAAGGAGCAUGCAGACUGCAUGACCUUUACCACAUCAACUUGCCUUGUUAUUAAUUUAGUAGCUCUGUUGUAGGCCUGUUGCUUUUGUUUCAGACACUUUCGUUAUCAGUCUGAUACUGUAACAACAUUUGAUGGUGUUGACGAUAAGUCACCCAUUCAAUUUAAAUUUUAUUGCACAAAUCUGUUUAGUAAGUUAAAAUUGGUAACAUGUUUUUCGUACAUUUAGAAAUGUUAACUCCACACAUCUUUUUACUGGUAAGAUGCCAAUUGAGAUACACCAUUAAACUUAUGAACACCAUUUGAUAUUUUUCUACUAGGUUCUAAACAGUAACUAAGGAGAUCAGAAUAUGAGCAAUUUUUAUUAUUGUACAACAGUAAAGAUUAAUAUUCUAUUAGCUAAACAAGUAUCAGCCUUGUUAUUACAGGUGUUUUGUAGUACAGAUAAUUCUUUAUUAGAUACAUUUAAUACAUCAUCAUUACCAGUUGUUGAAUAGAAACUGAGAUAAACUAUUAUUAAAAAUUAGUUAAUGAAAUUUCUUCAAUUGGUUCAGAGGUAUUAUAAAAUUUUGUAGUACUGUACAUAAGCAUUUGACUAAUAUUUCUGAGUUUACCGCUUUAACUAGAAUGGGAGAUAUCAGUGCAAUCAUUAAAUCUCAAUGAAGAUUGAUAUCUCGGUGAUAGACAACUAGAAAUUUUGAUUCAUCGGUAAUUAAUAUCAGCUGUACUGUUAAAUAGUAAUAGAAGGUUCAUCCCUUUUGUUUGGUUUUAGCAAAAGGAAAGCCUGUUUAUGGUUUUUAGAACAUUAAGUAUUCAAACAGAUGAAUGUGCUUUGAAAUCUUGCUGUUUUGUCUACUUAAUUACUUCAUAGAACAGAUUCGUUCUUUUGUAUGGUGAAAUCUUGUAUGACUACAGUGUUUAAUAUCUAUUUAAUUUUCUUACAUAUAGUAAUUAGUGUGGAUUGUUUUUAACAUCUGUGGUUUAAUGGUUUUAUAUUAUAGAUGUUUUGCAAAGAAGAAUAAAGUAUGCAUUGUGUUUGAUAUGAAAAAAGACAAUCAUUUUGAGAAGAUGUAUAAAGUUGAGCUUGGUGAUAGUAUUCUGUGUAAGGUCAAACAACAUUAUUAAACACAUUGAGAUACAUUCAGCAUCUCUUUAGUUUAAUUAGUGCUUUUCUACUUUCGAUAUUUGGUUUAUUGGCCCAUUAGCAUUAUGUUUUUACAACCUCUAGGUUUUAAUCAAAGCUUUAGUCAGUCAACAUUACUUAAUGUCCAAAUAACACAACAUCAUGGUCAGGAGCAUUGCUAUAGAAUUACAAUCUUAGACAAGACAUAUGUUUGUAAAAAUAGUAAAUGCAUGAAUAGUCACUCAUUGAUGAAAAAUUCAAGUACUAAUGUAUAUAUAUACAUAUUUUAAAGGCAGAUAAAACUUGUAUGCAAGUUAUUCACACACAUACAUUUAUAUUUGUGACCUCCCACACAUAUAAAUCAGUAAUUUUAUCACAUCUUUGGUCUUUUUCUUAUGACUCACUAUGUAGUUAUAAUUUUGAACUAAGUGAAUUAUAAAGGUGUUUGAAAUACAGAAGCUAAAAUAGAACAUAUUAUUAAGGACAGUGUGUUUGGAGGAGAAGGAUGGGAUAAGUUAGUGUUGCCCUUCUACAGAUCGACAUGUAACCCUACAUCACUCCUCAUUAUAACUUCCAAACUAAUUACAGUAGAUCAUAUGGUGAUAAUAUGCUGGUGCUUUGACUUUAAAUACAUAUAUUUGAUAUGUACCCUGAUCAAAGGAUUUGCCAGCACAGUUAUUAAAAUAUUAGUCAACAAGACUCUCUAAACGUUUUCUUUACACUGAAAGAACUUUGCUAGUGAACAGACAUCUCACAUCUCUUGUUACUUGUUAUAAUAUUAUAAGCUUCCCACACUAAAUGAUAGUUUCUUUCUUAUAUCAACAACUUAUUACCUACAUUUGCAGAUUAAGAAGUAUUGACUUAAGUAUGCAUGCAAUUGAUAAUGCUUGGAGAUGGCUUGAAUGGGUAAUGAAGAAAAACUUUAAAAUAAGUUUAACAUAACAGCAAAUGUACAACAUUUCUACAAGGUUUUGUCAUCAUCAGGUACUAGUAGUUUACACUGACAUAUAUAUAUAUAUGUAUAUAUACAGUAUGGAACAAAGAGGUCACAUGACCAAAUACUAUUGCAAGACUUAGAGGAGAUACCUUGGCACUCCAGGGUGUUGGUUUAGUAGUAGGGUUGUUUUGUUCAAUUAAGAUAGAU